rnacentral:lncRNA from 10 species
UCGGCUCACUGCAGCCUCUGCCUCCCGGGGUCAAGCGAUUCUCCUGCCUCAGCCUCCUGAGUAGCUGAGACUACAGGUGCACACCACCACACCUGGCUAAUUCUUGUACUUUUAGUAGAGAUGGGUUUUCACCGUGUUGGCCAGGCUGGUCUUGAACUCCUGACCUUAGAAGUAAUCUGCCCACCUCGGCCUCCCAAAGUGCUGAGAUUACAGGCGUGAGCCACCACAUCCGGCCUGCACUGACUUCUUAAGUAGGCCCAAUGUCAAUGAAAGAAAAAUAUUGUAUUAGCAAGGAAGUUAUAUGUAUUGUGGUGGGACAAGAAAAUAGGAUCCCCAAACUUGGGCAUGGACUAAUGUAGGCACUUCUCCCCUCUUCCCCUAGCCUAAAAGACAGUGGACCAAGGUUCUAGGCUUCAUUCUGCUGGUGGAUUUCUCACUGCACAGGCCCCAGCCUUGAGGUGUGCCUCUGUCAGGGAAAUGGGAGGCCCUAGUAGCCACAUCUAUUUUAACAUCAUGUGUUCUUAAUCUCAUAUUUAUCCUGCCUGUGUGCUGGUUCCAUAGUAAACCAACAAGAAAGUACAGUACCCUUAUCUGAGUUCCUGUCUGCAUUCUCAUCGGUCCUUGAACUGGCCCAGCCCUUGAGGUGUUGUGGCUUAACAGCCUCUAUUACUGAAAGUGCCAAGAAAUAUAUAGCAGCUCACACCUAUAAUCCCAGCACUUUGGGAGGCCAAGACAGGUGGAUCACCUGAGGUCAGGGGUUCGAGACCAGCCUGGCCAACAUGAUGAAACCCCAUCUCUACUAAAAAUACAAAAAUUAGCUAGGCGUGGUGGCUGGCAUCUGUAAUCCCAGCUACUCAGGAGGCUGAGAUAGGAGAAUCGCUUGAACCUAGGAGGCA